rnacentral:rRNA from 1 species
CCUACGGGAGGCAGCAGUGGGGAAUUUUGCGCAAUGGGGGAAACCCUGACGCAGCAACGCCGCGUGAGUGAUGAAGGCUCUUGGGUCGUAAAGCUCUGACAGAGGGAAAGAAAUGUGGGUGGCUAAUAUCCAUACCACUUGACGGUACCCUCAAAGGAAGCACCGGCUAACUCCGUGCCAGCAGCCGCGGUAAUACGGGGGGUGCAAGCGUUGUUCGGAUUUAUUGGGCGUAAAGCGCGUGUAGGCGGUUUUUUAAGUCUGAUGUGAAAGCCCUGGGCUCAACCCGGGAAGUGCAUUGGAUACUGGAAGACUUGAAUACGGGAGAGGGCAGUGGAAUUCCUGGUGUAGGAGUGAAAUCCGUAGAUAUCAGGAGGAACACCGGUGGCGAAGGCGGCUGCCUGGACCGAUAUUGACGCUGAGACGCGAAAGCGUGGGUAGCAAACAGGAUUAGAUACCCUGGUAGUCCACGCCGUAAACGAUGAGUACUAGGUGUUGCGGGUAUUGACCCCUGCAGUGCCGCAGCUAACGCAUUAAGUACUCCGCCUGGGAAGUACGGUCGCAAGACUAAAACUCAAAGGAAUUGACGG